rnacentral:lncRNA from 1 species
UAGGUCAGAAAGUAAUUUUGGUCUCUGUUACUCCAUCUUGGUCAGAAGUGUAAUACCUAAGCAUUUACACAUCCAAAUACUGCACACAUAAUUUUAGUUUAAGCUACUUUUUAAAAAAUCUCCUUCAUUUUCCAUUUAGCAUUGUAUUUAGGGUAUUACAUUGGUUUUUUUGAAAUUCUGUUAUUGGCAGUUUCUAUUGCCUAUCAAUCCCAUUUAAAGAUACUGCAUAGGGUAUUCUAAAAUAGCUGUUAAGCAAAGAGAAAAUUGGGCCUGAUAGGGUGAGAAUCACAGCUCUAAUACCUAGAGUGACCGUAUAAUGUAUUGUCCAAAGGAGUUAUUUUUGACAGUGAAAGAAGGUGUUGUUAGUAAUUAUAUCAGGACUAUGGCCUAAACCAGGACUAUCCCAGGCAGCCUGGGACAUAUUUGUACCCCAUCUCUAUUUAAUGCCUUUAUACAAUUCUUUACUUAAUUCUACCAGCCUUUAUUGAGCCUGCUUUCUUUGUCUAGCUGAGUGCCACGUGCUGACAUCACUAAGUUCAAUACAGCAAACUCUGAAAGAUGGACAGAGAGACAGGAGAUGGUCCUUUAUAAUGCAGUGUGAUCUGUGCUGCAAUAGAGUUUUGGAAGCUAGAAGUUCAAAACGAGGUGUUGCAGCACCAUGCUCUCUCUUGAAGAUGCUAGGAAGAAUCUGCUCCAUGCCUUUCCAUUCGUUCUGGGGUUUCCUGCAAGCCCAAUAGUAAAAACAAAUUUAUCA